CUUGGGAAUGGCGAGGAAACCGUUACCAUUACUGAGUUUAGUAAUGGUAACGGUUCUUUUGCUGCUCCCAGA
rnacentral:pre_miRNA from 1 species